rnacentral:rRNA from 1 species
GGGCGUAAGCGCGCGUAGGUGGCUUGAUAAGCCGGUUGUGAAAGCCCCGGGCUCAACCUGGGAACGGCAUCCGGAACUGUCAAGCUAGAGUGCAGGAGAGGAAGGUAGAAUUCCCGGUGUAGCGGUGAAAUGCGUAGAGAUCGGGAGGAAUACCAGUGGCGAAGGCGGCCUUCUGGACUGACACUGACACUGAGGUGCGAAAGCGUGGGUAGCAAACAGGAUUAGAUACCCUGGUAGUCCACGCCGUAAACGAUGUCGACCAGCCGGUGGGUGCCUAGCGCACUUUGUGGCGAAGUUAACGCGAUAAGUCGACCGCCUGGGGAGUACGGCCGC